GAGUUUGAUCCUGGCUCAGAUUGAACGCUGGCGGCAUGCUUUACACAUGCAAGUCGAACGGCAGCACAGGGGAGCUUGCUCCCUGGGUGGCGAGUGGCGGACGGGUGAGGAAUACGUGGGAAUCUGCCCAGUCGUGGGGGAUAACGUAGGGAAACUUACGCUAAUACCGCAUACGAACUACGGUUGAAAGCGGCGGACCGCAAGGCGUCGCGCGAUUGGAUGAGCCGAUGUCCGAUUAGCUAGUUGGCGGGGUAAAGGCCCACCAAGGCGACGAUCGGUAGCUGGUCUGAGAGGAUGAUCAGCCACACUGGAACUGAGACACGGUCCAGACUCCUACGGGAGGCAGCAGUGGGGAAUAUUGGACAAUGGGCGCAAGCCUGAUCCAGCCAUGCCGCGUGUGUGAAGAAGGCC
rnacentral:rRNA from 1 species